GUGCUCGCUUCAGCAGCACAUAUACAAAAAUUGGAAUGAUACAGAGAAGAUUAGCAUGGACCCUGUAUGAGUAUGAUACACAAAUUUGUGAAAAAUAAAAAUAAAAA
ensembl:snRNA U6 U6 spliceosomal RNA